UACGAAGGGGGCUAGCGUUGCUCGGAAUCACUGGGCGUAAAGGGCGCGUAGGCGGCCUGAUAAGUCGGGGGUGAAAUCCUGUGGCUCAACCACAGGGCUGCCCUCCGAGACUGUCGGGCUCGAGCACAGUAGAGGCAGGUGGAAUUCCCGGUGUAGCGGUGGAAUGCGUAGAGAUCGGGAAGAACAUCGGUGGCGAAGGCGGCCUGCUGGGCUGUUGCUGACGCUGAGGCGCGAAAGCUAGGGGGAGCAAACGGG
rnacentral:rRNA from 1 species